rfam:Triticum aestivum genome assembly, contig: Triticum_aestivum_CS42_TGACv1_scaffold_569862_7AS
GUAAUACUCCCUUCAUCCGGAAAUACUUGUCGGAUAAAUGGAUGUAUUUAGACGGAUUUUAGUUCUAGAUACAUCCAUUUAUCAAUUUCUCCAACAAGUAUUUUCGGACGGAGGGAGUAAUAA